GGUGCUGUGGCUUAGUUGGUUAAAGCACCUAUCUAGUAAACAGGAGUUUACUGAGUUUGACUCAGCAAUGCCU
rnacentral:tRNA from 1 species